UUUUUGCCAUUCCUUGGGCCGCUCCUGCAACAUAUGGAGGUUCCCAGGCUAGGGGUCGAAGCGGAGCUAUAGGCACCAGCCUACGCCACAGCCACAGCAACUCGGGAUCAGAGCCACAUCUGCAACCUACACCACAGCUCACGGCAAUGCCGAAUCCCUAACCCACUGAGCAAGGCCAGGGAUCGAACCUGCAACGUCAUGGCUCCUAGUCGGAUUUGUUAACCACUGAGCCACAACGGGAACUCCUGUACAUUUAAAUUUUAAAAGAUAAUUUUAAAGUCAGUUUCAGAAUGAUCUCAAUUAUUAUAAAUUUAUACUAUAGGUAUGCCCCUUCCUUCAUUAAUUAAACCUGAUGUAUAUAAAAACUUAGGUUUACAUCAGCUGUACAUUAGGGAAAGGUGGCUCUGUUUAUAAAAUAAGUAAGUAUGUGCUUUAAAACAGGAUUUAUCAUAGCUUCUUUGAAAUCGUGAGCUUAUGGUACAAUUUGAGAGCAAGUCUUGGUGAUGAAGAACACAUGAUCUGGAGCCUGACAGCUAUGUUCAGUGUGAGCUCUGCCAGCUUCUCACUGUGUGACUCUGGACAGGUGAAGUAACAUCUCUGUUUGUAAAAAAGGAGAUAGGAUAAUAUGAUCCCAUAAGGAAGUCUCAAAGAUCAAGUGGAAUUCCCGUCUUGGUGCAGCAGAAACAAAUCCAACUAGGAACCACGAGGUUGUGGGUUCGAUCCCUGGUCUCAAUGGGUUAAGGAUCUGGCAUUGCCAUGAGCCAUGGUGUAGGUUGCAGACACGGCUCGGAUCCCAUGUUGCUGUGGCUGUGGUAUAGGCCAGCAGUGUAGCUCUGAUUGGACCCCUAGCCUGGGAACCUCCAUAUGCUGUGAGUUCUGUCUUAAAAAAAGGAAAAACAAAAACAAAAACAAAAACCAAGUGAGUUCAUGUAGUUGAAGUUGUUGGCCCUGCGCCCAGCCUUCAUUGCUGCAGAACAUGAGGCAGGCCCUGAAGAACUAUCAGGGCAAGAGGAAGAGGGAGCACAUGGGCUAGAUAGAAAAUUUAAUACUGAGUACAAAGUUCUUUUCUCCAGAAAGAUCACAACAUAAUAUUCGUAUGUAUUUUUGAAAAGCAAAUAGAAGUUACUCCUUUGGGAGAUGCAGGAAGAAAUCACAAGUGCUGUUAUUUAGGUACAUGUUUCCCCUUUUAUCUCAAGAUACUUCCUCUUUGACAUCAAAUUGGUGACAAGAUCUUCCCACCCACUUCACAGUGGAUCCUAACUAGCUAAAAGAAUAAGGCAAUUUCCACAGCAGGGAAACCACAAAAAUUACAAUUCUAAUUGCCAAACUUCUUCCCAUCAGGAGUGGAGAAAGAUAGGUCCUGAGUCUCUGGGUAGAUGGUGGGUCUCUAGGUAGGUCCUGGGUCGCUAGAUGGAUAAUGAAUUGCUCUUCAAACAAUCAAUGCUAAAUAUCAUUGUAUGUAAUUUCUGUGCAUAGAAAAGUCAUGCUUUCUGAUCUUACACACGUUAGCAGUAAACUUACGGUUGAAAAAACAUUUCUUUCUUUGAAAUGAGGCUAAUUUAAAGCUAACAGGAAAGAUGAAUUUAGCAAAAACUCAAGGCAAAUGAAACUCUGGUUCAGAAAAUAUUCUUAUGUUUUGCUUUUAUCUGGGCCUAAUAUUUAAAAAUAAUGAUCCAAAUAAUGUUAAAUUGAAUAUAUAUGUAGUGGUAGAGUUCAAAAUCAAUAAUUACACAGAUUUUCUGAGUACUGAUUCAAAUUCAAUUUAUUCUGGGUUUUUAUUUCAGUCCUUCAGACUUUUCUUUUGUGUGUCUUAUCUGUGCUAAGUUGUACUGAAAAAAUUUGGUAAAGUCCAUGUCUCCUAUAUUUUUAUGUUUUUGUAUUUGAAUAUGGUAAAAAUACAGGAAAAUGUACAGAUCAUAGACAUACAACUCUGUGAAUUUUCACAAACUGAACACAACUGUGUAAUUAGUACCCAAAUCAAGAAACUGAACUGGGAGUUCCUGCCAGCCCCUCAGAAGUUACACCUCCUUCAAGUCACUGACUACUUCCAAGUGUAACCGCUAUCGUGACUUUUAACUACAUGGUUUAGUGUGUCAGUUGGGCUAUUGCUGCAUAACAACCAACCAUAAAACUCCAGUAGCACACAAAAUCAAGACUGUGGUUUUCUCACCUGGACUGGUUGUAUAGGACACUCUGGUCAUCUUGGCUGGACUCUCUCCCAUGUCUAGGGGUAGAGGACAGCUCUCUCCAGCAAGCUAGCCAGGGUAUGGCCAUGGUCAUAGCAAAAGAUACAAGAACAGAAAGAAAUACUCAAGCCACCUGUUUAUCAUGCAAGACAGGGCCUGACAGAACCAGAAUUAACAGGAGGCUAGAAAAGUGCGUUGUGCAAGUACAGGGUCAGCUUGUGUCUUUAUUAGUAAUUUUGAUAUUUUGUUCACCAUGGGGUGUUUCUUGUUUCUUGCAUUAAUUUUGAUUUAAAAACAUGUACUGCAGAAAUUGACACAGCAUUGUAAAUCAGCUAUCAUUUUUUUUAAAUGGCAUUAAAAUCUUUUUCUUUACUACUGAGAUUUUUGGUGACACUUUACAUUUUGUGUCCAGGGUAAGCAAAUGUCUUACUGGUCUCAACCUAGUGCUGGCCCUGUUGGGGAAAUAUGCUCCAUAUCCUUAGUGAGAGGAGCUACAGUCAUAUGGCAAAGGGCAUGGAGAGCAGGGAAGAUGAAGAAUCAGAGCUAGUAAUGCACUAAAAUUACCACAAUUAGUUUUGGCUAUUUUUUGUACUUUAUUAAUGAGAAUCAUCCAGAAUGUAUUCUGGCUUCUUUCCCUUGACAUUAGGUUUGUGAAAUGCAUCCAUAGGGUUGCAUGUACUUGUAAAUUGUUUGUUCUCAUUGCUGUGUAGAAUUCCAUAUUGCAAAGAUACCACAAUGUCAACGGGCAUUUGAAUAGUCACAGUCUAGAGCUGUUAUCAAUAGUGCUGCUUUGGGGAGUUCCCCAUUGUGACGAAGUGGAAACGAACCCAACUAGUAACAAUGAGGUUGAGGGUACAAUCCCUGAUCCCUCGCUCAGUGAGUUAAGGAUCCAUGAGCUGUGGUGUAGGUCCCAGGCACAGCUUGGAUCUGGCAUUGCUGUGGUUGUAGUGUAGGCCAGAGGCUACAGCUCUGAUUCGACCCCUAGCCUGGGAACCUCCAUACAGGGUACGGCCCUAAAAAGCAGGAAAAAAAAAAAGUAGUGCUGCUUUAAAUGAUCUAGUAUAAAUUUCUGUUAAAUAUCUAUGCAUUUUUUGGAGGGGACACAUACCUGGGAGUGGAAUUUCUGGGUCAGAGGCUGCAUGUAAUAUUCAUUUUUAGUAGAUACUGCUAGUGUUCUAAUAAUUCAUUUCUUUAGCUUUAUUAAAAGUCUUGAUAUUUGUUAAUAAAAGUCCUACAGUUUGUUCUCCUUUUUAGGAUGGUCUUGGCCAUCCUUGGGCCUUUGAGUUUCUAAAUGAGUUUUAGAAGGAGCUUGUCCAUCCUUCUAAAAGGGAAAAAAACUGAUAAGAUUUGUAUUUGGGUUUGCUCUAAAUCUAUAAAGUGAGGAGAAUAUAUAUCUUUACAACAUGCUUCCAAGUCUUCUUGAAUUUCUCUCCAUGUCUCAUACUUUUGUAUAUCUACUUUGAACAAAAUAGGUAGCUAGUAAGUGUAUAAAAUAGGUAAUCCGCAAAUACAUUGUUGGUAGAAGGCUUUAGACUGAAUUCUGUUUUUCAGCCAUGCUGCUCAUCCCAACACCUGAAUUUGCCCUCCUAUGGUGGAAAACCUUCCUGCCUCUAUCUUUCCAACCUGACCAAAGCUAUUAUCAAUAGUGCUGCUUUGGGGAGUUCCCCAUUGUGACGAAGUGGAAACGAACCCAACUGGUAACAAUGAGGUUGAGGGUACAAUCCCUGAACCUCAGGGAUUCCUUGACGGAUCACCUCAAAUUUCACUGCUCUGCAGAGUUAGCAGAGCUUCUCUGUGGUCUCCACUGCAUUCUCCUUUACCUGAUUUUUAAUCAGCACGGUAUAGUGUGAUGAGCUGCACCAGUGUCCACUAAACUUCUGGGUGCUAACCAGAUCCAGCCUAGCACUUGGUAGAUGUGUGCUGGAGAAAUGAAGUUGAGUUGUUUGGUGUAGGUGAUCUAUCAGUUGGUUGCUUGUUUUGUCUUUGUGGGACUUCAUUUGGAUUUAAGUUAUAGUUAAAAAAAAAAAAUGUAGUGUCCUAGUUUGGCCCUCUGGUGCAUAUCAGUCUGAUUUUUGAUCAUUGAGUUGUUUGGUGUAGGUGAUCUAUCUGUUGGUUGCUUGUUUUGCCUUUGUGGGACUUCAUUUGGAUUUAAGUUAUAGUUUAAAAAAAUGUCCUAGUUUGGCCCUCUGGUGAGAAUCAAUCUGAUUUUUUUAUUUCAUGACUCAUUUUGAUUUGAAAAAUAUCUGUAUAUAUUCAACUUCUUUCCAAUAAGGUUUUAAAGCAUAUACGUUGCUUCGUGUGCUUCACUCCACAGCUUCUAAGUUAGUUUAAAAGAAAAUCAUUAACUAAAUUUUUUUUUAAAUACCAGUAACAGGCGAGUUUGUAGCAAGGCAGUCACACCUCCAGUGACCACUAGGUGGCAGUUUCACUCUCAAUAUGACCUGCCGCCAUUUGAGGAGCCUGGAGAUCAAGCUGAACCAUGGGGUACAGCUUGUUUAACUAGGCCUUUUGGUAGAAAGAUGCAGGUUGGAAGUCAUUCCUGAAGAAAAUGGAGUUGUGGGAAUACAGCUCUUGGAAAAUGGAAGGGAAUUCCAUUAGACAUUAUUUCACUGAAAGGUUAGCCAAAAACUCAAUUGACCACAUCUGCAAAAUUAUCUAGAAAGAUGUACAAGACCACACAAUGCUGAAAGGCAAAGGAGUCUCUUGUUGGCCUUCCCCAGCUGGAGUCCAGCCCCCUGGGAUGGGGGAGGGGAGCCAGAGUGAGGGUGUUCUCUGGUAGGACCGAGCCCCUGGUCGUGUUCUUAAAUUCUCCUGGUUGGAGGCUUUAGACAACACUGGAUGAGACUCUGAUCAACUGUAUUUGAUUGACGCUAUUGUCAGCCCUGAAAUUAUGGGAGGCCCACACCAAAACUUUGCUAUGUGUUUAAGGGAUGGGGGCACACCUAUUCUGGGCAAGCAACUUUAUGGAUUUUAUCUUAUUGAAUCCUUACAGCUUUAUGAAUUAGGGAACCCUCACCCCCAUUUUAUAGAAAAGAAACAAAGGUUCAGAGCAAGUAUAUAUCUCAUCCAAAGCCACACAGUAGGAGGUUGAGGAUUAAAACUCAGCACUCUGACUGUUCCCAUAACCCCAGGCUGACUCCCAAGAAAUCCCACCCCCUUCUCAUGAGGAUGAACAUUGCCUCCUCAGAUGGCUUUGGGGUGAAGGGAGGUGACACCCGUGGAGAGAACAGCACCAUGUCUGCAGCAUGGAGGCACUAGUGAACGAGG
rnacentral:lncRNA from 1 species